CGGGCACUACGAGGAGGGAGGCCACGCAGCUGGGGGACCGGGAGCGCUACCGGCGCAAACUAAGCGCUGGACGCCGCGGGGCGCAGGUGGGCCACCCAGCCUCAGUUACCUGCAUCUGCGGAAUUCCUGAGGACGGGAGGAAUGCGAGCGCCUGCUGGCCAGGCAGGCUGGAGACCUCCUGGGACUUUACCCUCCGGCCCUGCCCCGCCCCUAGCUCCCUUUCUGGGGAGCCUCGAUUUUCUACUCUGUAACUAAAUGUGAGGGACUGCUAAGAUCCCCAGUUCGAGCAGAA